CGGAAAAUAUGGAAUUUGGUGAAAAUACCAAAAAUACCCUUCAGUGGCAAGUUACCGUGCAAUUCAAUCCUUUAAUCAAACUGCAUCCCUAAUAUGUAUAUGAGUAUGAAUAUAUGUCAAACUCAAUUUCAUAUUCAUAUCUUUUUCAAUCUUUUAAUGAUAAUUCAAAUAAUGAAACAUUAGAAACUCUUUCUAAUUUUCAUUCUGCUUUGAUCAAAGGCUUCCUGAAUUAUCAUAUGAUUAGAAUAAAU
rnacentral:lncRNA from 1 species